rnacentral:rRNA from 1 species
AGUGAACGCUGGCGGUAGGCCUAACACAUGCAAGUCGAACGGCAGCACAGUAAGAUCUUGCUCUUACGGGUGGCGAGUGGCGGACGGGUGAGGAAUACAUCGGAAUCUACUUUUUCGUGGGGGAUAACGUAGGUAAACUUACGCUAAUACCGCAUACGACCUACGGGUGAAAGCAUGGGAUCUUCUGACCUUGCGCGAUUGAAUGAGCCGAUGUCGGAUUAGCUAGUUGGCGGGGUAAAGGCCCACCAAGGCGACGAUCCGUAGCUGGUCUGAGAGGAUGGUCAGCCACACUGGAACUGAGACACGGUCCAGACUACUACGGGAGGGAGCAGUGGGGAAUAUUGGACAAAGGGCGCAAGCAUGAUCCAGCCAUCCCGCGUGGGUGAAGAAGGCCUUCGGGUUGUAAAGACCUUUUGUUGGGAAAGAAAAGCAGCAGGUUAAUACCCAGCUGUUCUGACGGUAACCAAAGAAUAAGCACCGGCUAACUUCGUG